GGGAGUGUAGCUCAGGUGGUAGAGCAUCUGCCUUUUAAGCAGGUGGCCGCAGGUUCGAAUCCUGCCACUCUCA
rnacentral:tRNA from 1 species